GAUGAACGCUAGCUACAGGCUUAACACAUGCAAGUCGAGGGACCGGCGCACGGGUGAGUAACCCGUAUCCAACCUGCCCUUUACUCGGGGAUAGCCUUUCGAAAGAACGAUUAAUACCUGAUAUAAAGGAUGGGGAUGCGUUCCAUUAGGUUGUUGGUAAGGUAACGGCCCACCAAGCCUUCGCUGGAUAGGGGUUCUGAGAGGAAUGUCCCCCACAAUUGAACUGAGACACGGUCCAAACUCCUACGGGACGCAGCAGUGAGGAAUAGUGUUCAAUGGGCGCUAGCCUGAACCAGCCAAGUAUCGUGAAGGAUGAAUGCUUAUGGGUCGUAAACUUCUUUUAUAUAAGAAUAUGUACUAUAUGAAUAAGGAUCGGCUAACUCCGUGCCAGCAGCCGCGGUAAUAC
rnacentral:rRNA from 1 species